rnacentral:misc_RNA from 1 species
GAUGAAGAACGCAGCGAAAUGCGAUAAGUAAUGUGAAUUGCAGAAUUCAGUGAAUCAUCGAAUCUUUGAACGCAUCUUGCGCUCCUUGGUAUUCUGAGGAGCAUGCCUGUUUGAGUGUCAUUAAAUUCUCAACUACACUGACUUUGAAUUGGUGUGGCUUGGAUUUGGGGGGAAAAUUGUUGUGGGCUUUUUGUAUAGUCUGCUCCCCUGAAAUUGAUUAGCGGUACCUUUGUGGAACUGUCUACAGGUGUGAUAAUUAUCUACAUCUUAGACAUCUGCUGGAAUGCUGCUUUCUAAACCUUACUUGUAUUGACAAUCUUGACCUCAAAUCAGGUAGGACUACCCGCUGAACUUAAGCAUAUAAAAGCGGAGGA